CUUUGCUAAAAAACGGUCUUCCAGUUUCAGAAGUUCGUGGGUCAUUUAACUGUAAACGCCUAAAUUUUAAGAGAGCCCUUACUCUUAUACAGUGAAUUUGGAGGACUGGCUUAGGACAAGGCCCUCUAUGUUCAGAAUGUUUAUCACUUUUCUCUCUUUUUUUUUUUUUUUUUUGACAACGAAGUUUCGCUCUUGUUGCCCAUGCUGGAGUGCAGGGGCGCGAUCUGCCCGUCUAAUUUUUGUAUUUUUAGUAGAGAUGGGGUUUCACCAUGUUGGCCAGGCUCUCAAACCCCUGACCUAGUGAUCCUCCCGCCUCUGCCGCCCAAAUUCCUGGGAUUGCAGUAGUGAGCCACCGCGCCCGGCCUAUUUUUUUCAGUCUUAUCUUCUCUACCUCACCACCUCACAGUAAAGCAUAGUUCUCAACUAAUGAAAAAUCAUUGCAUUAUCUUGAGAGCAAUAGCAAUGAUCAUGCCAACAGUAAUUCAGACUGUGUCAUAAGUUGGGUCACACAGUCCCUAUUUUCAAACUUUGUGGAUGUCUGUCAACUGGCAGUGAAUUGUAUUCAGGAGAAAAGAAGUCUAAAUUCUCAGGGCAGUGAACCUAAGCCAGGAGCUGCUUAGGCAUUAAGGCUUCUAUACCCAGAAUCGUGUGCUAAGCUUUCUCUCCAAGUCAGCACAACAAAGCAAACCAGAGCAUCGUACCAACAACCUGAAAGGUCACCUGACUCCUUCCUUCUCACUCCCAUUCUGUACUUCUGCAUACGUGGGCAGGCAAGUGAAUGAUACAUAAGAUAUUUUGCCUGCUAUGAAGCCAUUGGAGAAUCAGGUCCAGCUGUGUCCUACAGAUUUAUACCCUCACUUUGGAUGCACUGUGAAUCUUGAAACAAGUAUGUAAAUAGAAUCCAGCCCCUCUCUGCCACAGCCUCAGAGCAGGAUUGGUAACUCCAAAAGACACCAGGACACAUCCUAAUUUUCUUAAAUUUUAUUUAUUUGUUUAUUUAUUUAUUAUUAUUAUACUUUAAGUUUUAGGGUACAUGUGCACAAUGUGCAGGUUAGUUACAUAUGUAUACAUGUGCCAUGCUGGUGUGCUGCACCCACUGACUCGUCAUCUAGCAUUAGGUAUAUCUCACAAUGCUAUCCCUCCCCUCUUCCCCCCACCCCACAACAGUCCCCAGAGUGUGAUGUUCCCUUUCCUGUGUCCAUGUGUUCUCAUUGUUCAAUUCCCACCUAUGAGUGAGAAUAUGCGCUGUUUGGUUUUUUGUUCUUGCGAUAGUUUACUGAGAAUGAUGAUUUCCAAUUUCAUCCAUGUCCCUACAAAGGACAUGAACUCAUCAUUUUUUAUGGCUGCAUAGUAUUCCAUGGUGUAUAUGUGCCACAUUUUCUUAAUUCAGUCUAUCAUUGUUGGACAUUUGGGUUGGUUCCAAGUCUUUGCUAUUGUGAAUAAUGCCGCAAUAAACAUACGUGUGCAUG
rnacentral:lncRNA from 1 species